UACGUAGGAUGCAAGCGUUGUCCGGAAUCACUGGGCGUAAAGGGUCCGUAGGCGGUUUGUUAAGUCUCUUGUGAAAACUCAGGGCUCAACCCUGAGAGGUCGAGGGAUACUGGCAGACUCGAGACUGUCAGAGGCAAGUGGAAUUCCCGGUGUAGUGGUGAAAUGCGUAGAUAUCGGGAGGAACACCAGUGGCGAAAGCGGCUUGCUGGGACAGUUCUGACGCUGAGGGACGAAAGCGUGGGUAGCAAACCGG
rnacentral:misc_RNA from 1 species